rnacentral:rRNA from 1 species
CACGCCGUAAACGAUGUCAACUAGCUGUUGGUUAUAUAAAAAUAAUUAGUGGCGCAGCAAACGCGAUAAGUUGACCGCCUGGGGANCAACGCGAAGAACCUUACCUACCCUUGACAUACAGUGGAUUUUGCAGAGAUGCAUUAGUGCCUUCGGGAACACUGAUACAGGUGC